rnacentral:rRNA from 1 species
CCUACGGGCGGCUGCAGUAAGGAAUAUUGGUCAAUGGAGGAAACUCUGAACCAGCCAUCCCGCGUGCAGGAUGAAGGGGCUCUGCCCUGUAAACUGCUUUUGAAUGGGACGAAAAAGCCUCACUUGUGAGGAACUGACGGUACCAUUAGAAUAAGCACCGGCUAACUCCGUGCCAGCAGCCGCGGUAAUACGGAGGGUGCAAGCGUUAUCCGGAAUCACUGGGUUUAAAGGGUGCGUAGGCGGUUGUAUAAGUCAGUGGUGAAAGGCCGUAGCUUAACUAUGGGAUUGCCAUUGAUACUGUAUGACUUGAAUGAGGUUGAGGUUGGCGGAAUGUGGCAUGUAGCGGUGAAAUGCUUAGAUAUGCCAUGGAACAUCGAUUGCGAAGGCAGCUGACUGGACCUGAAUUGACGCUGAGGCACGAAAGCGUGGGGAGCGAACAGGCUUAGAUACCCGAGUAGUC